CUCUGUGGUUAAUACCCAUGGACGAUGACAUUAGCUGCAGAAUAAGCACCGGCUAACUCUGUGCCAGCAGCCGCGGUAAUACAGAGGGUGCAAGCGUUAAUCGGAAUUACUGGGCGUAAAGCGAACGUAGGUGGCUUGAUAAGUCAGAUGUGAAAUCCCCGGGCUUAACCUGGGAACUGCAUCUGAUACUGUUAGGCUAGAAUAGGUGAGAGGAAGGUAGAAUUCCAGGUGUAGCGGUGAAAUGCGUAGAGAUCUGAAGGAAUACCGAUGGCGAAGGCAGCUUCCUGGCAUCAUACUGACACUGAGGCUCGAAAGCGUGGGUAGCAAACAGGAUUAGAUACCCUGGUAGUCCACGCCGUAAACGAUGUC
rnacentral:rRNA from 1 species